UCCGCCCGGGUCCGUGGUUGCGUCGCAAGGACGCUCCGGUCAGCCCGGACGCGUCAGCGGCAAGCCGAUGCCAGUCGCAGGCGAAACGGUCCACGUAAGUCGUCGUCCGGGGGUCCGCCCCCGGCGCGGCGACGAGCACGGUGCGGCUUAGUCGUAAGUCCUGCCUCGUCCCGGCCGUCAGAUGCGGCCGUCGGCGGGAGAAGGCCGGUAGUGGCAGAGAAGCUGCGGGAGCCUCAGCAGGCGAGUGUGGGGUCGAAGACCAGGUCGGCCGGGCGGA
rnacentral:ncRNA from 1 species